AAGUCGAGCGGUAACACAGGGAGCUUGCUCCUGGGUGACGAGCGGCGGACGGGUGAGUAAUGUCUGGGAAACUGCCUGAUGGAGGGGGAUAACUACUGGAAACGGUAGCUAAUACCGCAUAACGUCGCAAGACCAAAGAGGGGGACCUUCGGGCCUCUUGCCAUCAGAUGUGCCCAGAUGGGAUUAGCUAGUAGGUGGGGUAAUGGCUCACCUAGGCGACGAUCCCUAGCUGGUCUGAGAGGAUGACCAGCCACACUGGAACUGAGACACGGUCCAGACUCCUACGGGAGGCAGCAGUGGGGAAUAUUGCACAAUGGGCGCAAGCCUGAUGCAGCCAUGCCGCGUGUAUGAAGAAGGCCUUCGGGUUGUAAAGUACUUUCAGCGAGGAGGAAGGCAUUAAGGUUAAUAACCUUGGUGAUUGACGUUACUCGCAGAAGAAGCACCGGCUAACUCCGUGCCAGCAGCCGCGGUAAUACGGAGGGUGCAAGCGUUAAUCGGAAUUACUGGGCGUAAAGCGCACGCAGGCGGUCUGUCAAGUCGGAUGUGAAAUCCCCGGGCUCAACCUGGGAACUGCAUUCGAAACUGGCAGGCUAGAGUCUUGUAGAGGGGGGUAGAAUUCCAGGUGUAGCGGUGAAAUGCGUAGAGAUCUGGAGGAAUACCGGUGGCGAAGGCGGCCCCCUGUACAAAGACUGACGCUCAU
rnacentral:rRNA from 1 species